UGGAAGAAUUUGAAGACGUCAACUUGCAGACGUGAAGAAUUUGAAGACUUCAACUUGCAGACUUGAAGAAUUUGAAGACUUCAACU
rnacentral:pre_miRNA from 1 species